rnacentral:rRNA from 1 species
ACUCCUGCGGGAGGCAGCAGUGGGGAAUAUUGGACAAUGGGCGCAAGCCUGAUCCAGCCAUGCCGCGUGAGUGAUGAAGGCCCUAGGGUUGUAAAGCUCUUUCACCGGUGAAGAUAAUGACGGUAACCGGAGAAGAAGCCCCGGCUAACUUCGUGCCAGCAGCCGCGGUAAUACGAAGGGGGCUAGCGUUGUUCGGAUUUACUGGGCGUAAAGCGCACGUAGGCGGACUAUUAAGUCAGGGGUGAAAUCCCGGGGCUCAACCCCGGAACUGCCUUUGAUACUGGUAGUCUUGAGUUCGAGAGAGGUGAGUGGAAUUCCGAGUGUAGAGGUGAAAUUCGGAGAUAUUCGGAGGAACACCAGUGGCGAAGGCGGCUCACUGGCUCGAUACUGACGCUGAGGUGCGAAAGCGUGGGGAGCAAACGGGAUUAGAAACCCUUGUAGUCCCA